rnacentral:tRNA from 1 species
UGGUCGCUUGGCUCAGAUGGAUAGAGCAACUGCCUCCUAAGCAGUAGGUCCCCGGUUCGACUCCGGGAGCGAUCAU